CCUACGGGAGGCAGCAGUGAGGAAUAUUGGUCAAUGGACGAGAGUCUGAACCAGCCAAGUAGCGUGAAGGAUGACUGCCCUCUGGGUUGUAAACUUCUUUUAUAUGGGAAUAAAACGUUCCACGUGUGGGAUUUUGUAUGUACCAUAUGAAUACGGAUCGGCUAACUCCGUGCCAGCAGCCGCGGUAAUACGGAGGAUCCGAGCGUUAUCCGGAUUUAUUGGGUUUAAAGGGAGCGUAGGUGGAUUGUUAAGUCAGUUGUGAAAGUUUGCGGCUCAACCGUAAAAUUGCAGUUGAAACUGGCAGUCUUGAGUACAGUAGAGGUGGGCGGAAUUCGUGGUGUAGCGGUGAAAUGCUUAGAUAUCACGAAGAACUCCGAUGGCGAAGGCAGUUCACUGGACUGAAACUGACACUGAGGCUCGAAAGUGUGGGUAUCAAACAGGAUUAGAUACCCUGGUAGUC
rnacentral:rRNA from 1 species